UACGUAGGGGGCAAGCGUUGUCCGGAUUUAUUGGGCGUAAAGAGCGUGUAGGCGGCUUCACAGGUCCGCUGUGAAAACUCGAGGCUCAACCUCGAGCUGUCGGUGGAAACCGUGUGGCUAGAGUCCGGAAGAGGAGAGUGGAAUUCCCGGUGUAGCGGUGAAAUGCGCAGAUAUCGGGAAGAACACCCGUGGCGAAGGCGGCUCUCUGGGCCGUAACUGACGCUGAGGAGCGAAAGCAUGGGGAGCGAACAGG
rnacentral:rRNA from 1 species